GACGAACGCUGGCGGCGUGCUUAACACGUGCAAGUCGAACGCUGAAGCUCAGCUUUUGUUGGGUGGAUGAGUGGCGAACGGGUGAGUAACACGUGAGUAACCUGCCUCCUUCUUUGGGAUAACGCCCGGAAACGGGUGCUAAUACUGGAUAUUCACUGGUCUUCGCAUGGGGGUUGGUGGAAAGGGUUUUUCUGGUGGGGGAUGGGCUCGCGGCCUAUCAGCUUGUUGGUGGGGUGAUGGCCUACCAAGGCUUUGACGGGUAGCCGGCCUGAGAGGGUGACCGGUCACAUUGGGACUGAGAUACGGCCCAGACUCCUACGGGAGGCAGCAGUGGGGAAUAUUGCACAAUGGGCGCAAGCCUGAUGCAGCGACGCCGCGUGAGGGAUGGAGGCCUUCGGGUUGUGAACCUCUUUCGCUCAUGGUCAAGCCGCAACAAUGGUUGUGGUGAGGGUAGUGGGUAAAGAAGCGCCGGCUAACUACGUG
rnacentral:rRNA from 1 species